AACAGUGGGGAACCCAGAAGGCCCGGAAUCUGUUCCCCGGAGGGUUUCAGGUGACCACAGACACCCAGAAGGAGCCUGACCGGGCCUCUUGCACUGACUGAGACGACUCCUCAGGGCCCCACUCCUGGCAGCUGAGUGCUGCACCUGCCUUCUCGAUCACGAGCCUGAGAACUGCACGGGGGAGCAGCCCAGACUGGCUGGAAACCAUGUUUUCAGAGUGCAGGGUCAAGUGGCGUGUAGGACUCUGUCAAAAGAAUGACCCCUUUCCCCACCACAUACCCACAACUGCACAGGUUAAAACAGAAAUCUUGUCAUUUUAUAAUUGUAAUCCACGCCGGGUGCAGUAGCUCACACCUGUAAUCCCAGCA
rnacentral:lncRNA from 1 species